rfam:Schistosoma mansoni, Puerto Rico, WGS project CABG01000000 data, contig: 0134
AUUCAGCUGACGUGUCCCAAAUAGGAUGAAACAUGCGUCAUAGAU